UUUACGUCAUUUUCCAACUGAAAAUUCGCAGUUACAUUAUGCAUUCUGGGAAAACCUCCCAUAGGGCGGAUACAUUCUGCUGGCCGGGCCAUUAUGCGAAUUAUGCAUGGCACAUUGCCAGAUCUUAAUGAAUUCGCCAUGCCACAGCGAUUCUGAGCCAUAUAAUCAGCGUCGCAUUCAGCCAUUCAUCUUUCUGCUUUCUCCGUGGCCUCAACCGAGUAACACAGUUCCCCAAAUCUCCCCCCCAAAACAUACAUAUGCAAAAACAAAGGCAGACGGAACCAUUUAAAUGAUAUUAUAUUAACAUAAAAAAACAAAAAACAAGCGGGAAAACAAUUAUAAUUUCGUUUACAAAACGAGAAACGGCACUUGGCGGGUAAAAAGUACUUAACGGCUUCGAACUGACAUUGGGAAUGGGUUCGGAAUGGCGUAUUGGAUUGUAUUUAAUUGUAUUGGAUUGGGGUUUUUGGGUUCGGGAGAUGCGAUGUGUCUUUCUGGUGGUGGGUGCCACUUUGCGCCGUUUAAUUUGUCGAGAGUUGCACUUGAAGCACGUGAAAGUAAAUUGAGAUAGAUGGGAAUCUUUCGGAUGGCGGCGCCCUCAAGCAGUUGGAUGUGAAAUGCACGAGUAUCUGAGCAGCCCAAAAGAUGAGAUGAAUCCGAAUCCGAAUCUGAAUCUAAAUCUGAGACCGUUGUAGGGUUGCGUUACACUGUGCGUGGGUUACGCAACAGGCUUCACUGUAUCGGUGGCCAGAGAUCUAGUUGAGAGAGGAGGGAUGUUGCAUUGAAAAUGAUUUCUUUUAUUGUUGCUUCUGCGGCGAGUCAUAAGUAAUAAAGAUAACGUAAGUUAACAACAAUUAAAUGUACAUUUAUAUAUGGGUACGAAUUAAGUAGUGUGUAUAAGUACAUAUAUAUGUAUCUCCCUCGACACGUUGCUGGCCAUAAAGUCUCAACCGAAAUCGCAUUAAACUUGGGCCCAUCUUCCAGCGGAGGCCAUCUAGUGGAGGUUAGUUGAGAGUAGUAUAAUUUAUAAAUACACAAUACGUUUUACAAUAUAUCUUCAUAUGCCUGGCCAGCCUUGGGGCCCAUUAAAACUCCAGUUAUUAUUGUUCGUGGGGCGGUUGUGGAAGUUUUCGGGGUAAAAUAUUUACAAUUUUAUCGCACUUUUAAUUUUUUUUUAUCUCUUGUUUGACCGCGCAAAAAGAAGUUGAAAAUCCGCACUUAGUCUACACCAUUAAGGGUUUUUUUUUCAGAGUUUUUCUUUUUCAGAGGGACGGGGUUGCUCUACAACACAUAGGUACAUACAUAUAGGUACAUUUUACACUUCGGGCUUACCCAAAGGAUUUUAAAAAUUAUUGUUCUAGCAUAGGAACUGUUUUUGUCCUUUUAAGUUUUCCAGUUUCAUUUCAAUUCUGAAUUUAUCCUCUGUUUAUCGUUUUAAACCAGUAAGUGUAAUUCAGUU